UUUCCGUAGGUGAACCUGCGGAAGGAUCAUUACAGAGUUCAUGCCCUCACGGGUAGAUCUCCCACCCUUGAAUAUUUAUACCUUAGUUGCUUUGGCAGGCCGUGGAAACACCAUGGGCUCCGGCUUAUGCGUGCCUGCCAGAGGAAACAAACUCUGUUUUUAGUGAUGUCUGAGUACUAUAUAAUAGUUAAAACUUUUAACAACGGAUCUCUUGGUUCUG
rnacentral:misc_RNA from 1 species